CCUCUGAUAGCUCAGUUGGCAGAGCGGUGGGCUGUAGCAUUCAUCACGUGGAUAUCCAUAGGUCGCUGGUUCAAGUCCGGCUCAGAGGA
rnacentral:tRNA from 1 species